rnacentral:tRNA from 1 species
GCCUUCAUGGUGUAGUGGUCAGCACACUCGGCUCGUAUUUGAGAGGUCCAUGGUUCGAGUCCUGGCGAGGGCA